rnacentral:rRNA from 1 species
CAGUAGCCGCGGUAAUACGUAGGGUGCAAGCGUUAAUCGGAAUUACUGGGCAUAAAGCGUGCGCAGGCGGUUUGUUAAGACAGAUGUGAAAUCCCCGGGCUCAACCUGGGAACUGCAUUUGUGACUGGCAAGCUAGAGUGUGGCAGAGGGGGGUGGAAUUCCGCGUGUAGCAGUGAAAUGCGCAGAUAUGCGGAGGAACACCGAUGGCGAAGGCAGCCCCCUGGGCCAACACUGACGCUCAUGCACGAAAGCGUGGGGAGCAAACAGGAUUAGAUACCCCUGUAGUCCCUGUCUCUUAUAA